rnacentral:rRNA from 1 species
AGCGAACGCUGGCGGCAGGCCUAACACAUGCAAGUCGAACGAAGUCUUCGGACUUAGUGGCGGGCGGGUGAGUAACACGUGGGAACGUGCCUUUAGGUUCGGAAUAACUCAGGGAAACUUGUGCUAAUACCGAAUGUGCCCUUCGGGGGAAAGAUUUAUCGCCUUUAGAGCGGCCCGCGUCUGAUUAGCUAGUUGGUGAGGUAAAGGCUCACCAAGGCGACGAUCAGUAGCUGGUCUGAGGGGAUGAUCAGCCACAUUGGGACUGAGACACGGCCCAAACUCCUACGGGAGGCAGCAGUGGGGAAUCUUGCGCAAUGAGCGAAAGCCUGACGCAGCCAUGCCGCGUGAAUGAUGAAGGUCUUAGGAUUGUAAAAUUCUUUCACCGGGGACGAUAAUGACGGUACCCGGAGAAGAAGCCCCGGCUAACUUCGUGCCAGCAGCAGCCGCCGUAA